GCUGGGUGUGGUGGCGCAUUCCUGUAAUCCCAGAUGCUUUGGAGGCUGAGGCAGGAGGACCACAGGUUUAAAGCCACCUCAGCAACUUAGGAAGGCCCUAAGCCACUCAGCAAGAAUCUGUCUCAA
rnacentral:sRNA from 1 species